rfam:Escherichia vulneris NBRC 102420 DNA, contig: EV10242010.
UCCGCAUCAGAUUUCCUGGUGUAACGAAUUUUCAAGUGCUUCUUGCAAACGCAAGCUUUAUCCCGGUCUCCCCAGACCGGGAUUU